CUAAGCCACGCGAGAUCUGCCAAUCUAAGCACGCUGAUUGGCGGCGAACGGCUCAGUAACACGUAGUCAACCUGCCCUCGGGUCGAGAACAAUCUCGGGAAACUGAGGCUAAUUCUCGAUAGGUCAAGAUUCCUGGAAUGGGUUUUGGCCCAAAUGGCGUAACAGCAUCUUGUUAUUUUCGCCCGAGGAUGGGACUGCGGCCGAUCAGGCUGUUGGUGAGGUAAAGGCUCACCAAACCAGUAACCGGUACGGGCUUUGAGAGAAGGAGCCCGGAUAUGGACACUGAGACAAGGGUCCAGGUCCUACGGGGCGCAGCAGGCGCGAAACCUUCGCAAUGCGCGCAAGCGCGACGAGGUUAUUCCGAGUGAUUUCCGCUGAGGAAAUCUUUUCUCAGAUCUAAAACGUCUGGGGAAUAAGGGGAGGGCAAGUCUGGUGUCAGCCGCCGCGUAA
rnacentral:rRNA from 1 species